CUCGAUGAGUAGGGCGGGACACGUGGUAUCCUGUCUGAAUAUGGGGGGCCCAUCCUCCAAGGCUAAAUACUCCUGACUGACCGAUAGUGAACCAGUACCGUGAGGGAAAGGCGAAAAGAACCCCGGCGAGGGGAGUGAAAAAGAACCUGAAACCGUGUACGUACAAGCAGUGGGAGCACGCUUAGGCGUGUGACUGCGUACCUUUUGUAUAAUGGGUCAGCGACUUAUAUUCUGUAGCAAGGUUAACCGAAUAGGGGAGCCGAAGGGAAACCGAGUCUUAACUGGGCGUUAAGUUGCAGGGUAUAGACCCGAAACCCGGUGAUCUAGCCAUGGGCAGGUUGAAGGUUGGGUAACACUAACUGGAGGACCGAACCGACUAAUGUUGAAAAAUUAGCGGAUGACUUGUGGCUGGGGGUGAAAGGCCAAUCAAACCGGGAGAUAGCUGGUUCUCCCCGAAAGCUAUUUAGGUAGCGCCUCGUGAAUUCAUCUCCGGGGGUAGAGCACUGUUUCGGCAAGGGGGUCAUCCCGACUUACCAACCCGAUGCAAACUGCGAAUACCGGAGAAUGUUAUCACGGGAGACACACGGCGGGUGCUAACGUCCGUCGUGAAGAGGGAAACAACCCAGACCGCCAGCUAAGGUCCCAAAGUCAUGGUUAAGUGGGAAACGAUGUGGGAAGGCCCAGACAGCCAGGAUGUUGGCUUAGAAGCAGCCAUCAUUUAAAGAAAGCGUAAUAGCUCACUGGUCGAGUCGGCCUGCGCGGAAGAUGUAACGGGGCUAAACCAUGCACCGAAGCUGCGGCAGCGACGCUUAUGCGUUGUUGGGUAGGGGAGCGUUCUGUAAGCCUGCGAAGGUGUGCUGUGAGGCAUGCUGGAGGUAUCAGAAGUGCGAAUGCUGACAUAAGUAACGAUAAAGCGGGUGAAAAGCCCGCUCGCCGGAAGACCAAGGGUUCCUGUCCAACGUUAAUCGGGGCAGGGUGAGUCGACCCCUAAGGCGAGGCCGAAAGGCGUAGUCGAUGGGAAACAGGUUAAUAUUCCUGUACUUGGUGUUACUGCGAAGGGGGGACGGAGAAGGCUAUGUUGGCCGGGCGACGGUUGUCCCGGUUUAAGCGUGUAGGCUGGUUUUCCAGGCAAAUCCGGAAAAUCAAGGCUGAGGCGUGAUGACGAGGCACUACGGUGCUGAAGCAACAAAUGCCCUGCUUCCAGGAAAAGCCUCUAAGCAUCAGGUAACAUCAAAUCGUACCCCAAACCGACACAGGUGGUCAGGUAGAGAAUACCAAGGCGCUUGAGAGAACUCGGGUGAAGGAACUAGGCAAAAUGGUGCCGUAACUUCGGGAGAAGGCACGCUGAUAUGUAGGUGAAGUCCCUUGCGGAUGGAGCUGAAAUCAGUCGAAGAUACCAGCUGGCUGCAACUGUUUAUUAAAAACACAGCACUGUGCAAACACGAAAGUGGACGUAUACGGUGUGACGCCUGCCCGGUGCCGGAAGGUUAAUUGAUGGGGUCAGCGCAAGCGAAGCUCUUGAUCGAAGCCCCGGUAAACGGCGGCCGUAACUAUAACGGUCCUAAGGUAGCGAAAUUCCUUGUCGGGUAAGUUCCGACCUGCACGAAUGGCGUAAUGAUGGCCAGGCUGUCUCCACCCGAGACUCAGUGAAAUUGAACUCGCUGUGAAGAUGCAGUGUACCCGCGGCAAGACGGAAAGACCCCGUGAACCUUUACUAUAGCUUGACACUGAACAUUGAGCCUUGAUGUGUAGGAUAGGUGGGAGGCUUUGAAGUGUGGACGCCAGUCUGCAUGGAGCCGGCCUUGAAAUACCACCCUUUAAUGUUUGAUGUUCUAACGUGGACCCGUGAUCCGGGUUGCGGACAGUGUCUGGUGGGUAGUUUGACUGGGGCGGUCUCCUCCUAAAGAGUAACGGAGGAGCACGAAGGUUGGCUAAUCCUGGUCGGACAUCAGGAGGUUAGUGCAAUGGCAUAAGCCAGCUUGACUGCGAGCGUGACGGCGCGAGCAGGUGCGAAAGCAGGUCAUAGUGAUCCGGUGGUUCUGAAUGGAAGGGCCAUCGCUCAACGGAUAAAAGGUACUCCGGGGAUAACAGGCUGAUACCGCCCAAGAGUUCAUAUCGACGGCGGUGUUUGGCACCUCGAUGUCGGCUCAUCACAUCCUGGGGCUGAAGUAGGUCCCAAGGGUAUGGCUGUUCGCCAUUUAAAGUGGUACGCGAGCUGGGUUUAGAACGUCGUGAGACAGUUCGGUCCCUAUCUGCCGUGGGCGCUGGAGAACUGAGGGGGGCUGCUCCUAGUACGAGAGGACCGGAGUGGACGCAUCACUGGUGUUCGGGUUGUCAUGCCAAUGGCACUGCCCGGUAGCUAAAUGCGGAAGAGAUAAGUGCUGAAAGCAUCUAAGCACGAAACUUGCCCCGAGAUGAGUUCUCCCUGACCCUUUAAGGGUCCUGAAGGAACGUUGAAGACGACGACGUUGAUAGGCCGGGUGUGUAAGCGCAGCGAUGCGUUGAGCUAACCGGUACUAAUGAACCGUGAGG
rnacentral:rRNA from 1 species